rnacentral:rRNA from 1 species
UACGUAGGGUGCAAGCGUUGUCCGGAAUCAUUGGGCGUAAAGCGCGCGUAGGUGGCUUCGUAAGUCCGUUGUGAAAGUCAAAGGCUCAACCUUUGAAUGCCGAUGGAUACUGCGAAGCUAGAGUACGGAAGAGGCGAGUGGAAUUCCUGGUGUAGCGGUGGAAUGCGCAGAUAUCAGGAGGAACACCAAUAGCGGAAGGCAGCUCGCUGGGACGUUACUGACACUAAGGCGCGAAAGCGUGGGGAGCGAACGAGGA